ACUGAACCCCGUGUGUCAUGUCAAUAGCGACGUAUCGAAAGUUUGGGAGCGUUCGCAGCAGCAAAGCGAAAACGUAGAACUGACACGUUUAUAGCAAUGGACUGUUCUAAUUGUUGCACAAAGCGAAUAAAGUCAUGAACGAAGCGUUCUGCAGCUUUAUAAAUGUUGUAAGAGUGCUUAUUGAUGAUAUUCGUGAAUUCAUUUCGCAGCUUAUUUCCGUGUUUUGUCAAACUCCUCCUACCCCUUCGUCUGAAGUGUGCAUCUGAAAAACCCUCGCUGGAAGGGCUAUGUGGCCCUCUCCCUCACCCCUACCCCUCACCGCAAAAUAGAAUUGGGACACCCCUUCGUCUCUCGUGAACGCGCACAACGAAGGGAAAGGGCCAAGCGGAGGGCUAAGGGGGAGAAUUGAGAUUGGGCCUAACUGUGGUUAUGCGGCCUGCUGCUGUACUGGUAUCAAUCACUGCGAAUUUUCAUCUGUGUCACGUGACUCGGCAUCGGAGCAGCGUGCUCACGUUCAGGCGCUCGCGCUCUGGCUAAUGCUAAACGGCUAACCAUGUGGCUUUUGCUUUUACAACAUCUUCUGCAAAGCUGCUGUCAGCGUGCCGUGCCUGAUAAAGCACGCACAAAACUUCCAAGGGGUCUGCUGCAGUGCAAGGCUGGACAACUCAGUCACGCGCCAGCCAAUGGUUUCCUGUCUGGAAAUGGAGCGUACAGAAGAUAGACGAACAAAACGCGGCGAUAAGGGAGAAAUAGUUCUGUCCCGGAGCCAGAUGGCACUAUUCGAUGAUGUCUGGCCCGCAGUCAAGGACAACUGUCCACCCGCUGAGCCAGAGACAGAGCUCCGAAUGGCCCGAGCUGAACACGCCCUGGGAUGUUUGUCCUUGUCUGCAGCCUGUCAGCUGUCCGCCAUGUGGAGACAGCCUGAUCUGACUGGUGUAAGAAAGAGAAGGGGAGCAAACAUUUCUCCACUACUCCCUGUAAAAGGCAGAAGCAGCGCAGAGCGGCAGGCGUGCUGCAUGAGAGACGGAGAGGCCGGUGUUCUGUGGUCGUACCCAUCGACAAGGGCUAAAGAUGUGCAGAGGCUGACGAGCAGCGAGCAGGUAGGCUGAUGUUGACGCGUUUGUAGUUUGGAUUCCGGUGAUGUGCCUUUUCUGCUGCUGUGUGUGUUGCGUGCACUCGGCGCUUUACUCCAGAGGCUAGCGUCUGUUAAGGUUCCGGCGUUCAUGUUAUCUUAACGUUUCUCCGCCCAAAUCACUUUGAUGUACAAUAUGAAAAGCUAAAACUGCUUGAAGUCAGUUUUUCAAGUUACAAAAUGGCUCGUGUUACUCUAAGCCUAUUGGAAAUACAAGGAUAGGUCUGUC
rnacentral:lncRNA from 1 species